rnacentral:rRNA from 1 species
UACGAAGGGAGCUAGCGUUGUUCGGAAUCACUGGGCGUAAAGCGCACGUAGGCGGACUUGUCAGUCAGGGGUGAAAUCCCGGGGCUCAACCUCGGAACUGCCUCUGAUACAGCAAGUCUCGAGUCCGGAAGAGGUGGGUGGAAUUCCUAGUGUAGAGGUGAAAUUCGUAGAUAUUAGGAAGAACACCGGUGGCGAAGGCGGCCCACUGGUCCGGUACUGACGCUGAGGUGCGAAAGCGUGGGAGCAAACAGG